rnacentral:lncRNA from 1 species
AGGGCGUAGAUCCAUAGUUAGCGCCCUACCACCGAGACCAGAGAUAGCAGUACUCUGAGUCGACCUUACUUAGAGAUGUAAGAAAAUGAAAAGAAUCAAGUUGUAAUAAUAUUGUUAAAGCUAGAUUGUAUUUGGAAGCAAAAAGAAUGCAAGAUGUAAUAUGUAAAUAUAUGUGAGUUGAAUGAUUGUAAUAGCUUAGUUGUAUUUAUGUUUAUGAUACUUCCUUAUGCAAUCUUUGAUUGAAUACUGUUCCUGGUUGGAACCUCGUGUAUUGCUUUGUAUUGAUUGCGACGCCUUGAAUGUACAGGGGAAACUCUAUCUGCGAUACAGGAGAAAUUCUGUCCGUUCGGCGGUCUGUCGGCGUG